rnacentral:rRNA from 1 species
UGCAGAGGGGGCAAGCGUUGUUCGGAAUUACUGGGCGUAAAGGGCGCGUAGGCGGCCUGCUAAGUCGGACGUGAAAUCCCCGGGCUCAACCCGGGAACUGCGUCCGAUACUGGCGGGCUCGAAUCCGGGAGAGGGAUGCGGAAUUCCAGGUGUAGCGGUGAAAUGCGUAGAUAUCUGGAGGAACACCGGUGGCGAAGGCGGCAUCCUGGACCGGUAUUGACGCUGAUGCGCGAAAGCCAGGGGAGCAAACGGG